CAGGGUGAGAUCACAAGGUCAGUUCAAUGUUUAACUUUUUCACAAUUACUUGAAAAUUCAUAGCACAGCAUCACUGUAACUUGCUAAUCAUGAAAGCUGUAAAUUAACAAUCAUUGCCUCUCAUAAUGACUGCACCAGUAUCCAUUUUUAUUUAUUCCUAAUUUAAUUCAAUUGCAACUACCUGACUGGAAGUUUGAGGUAGCUUCAUAGUGGUUCUAUUUGAUGGAAGGAGUAUGUCUUAAAGUACCCUCUGCAGCA
rnacentral:lncRNA from 1 species